AGAGUUUGAUCAUGGCUCAGGACGAACGCUGGCGGCGUGCCUAAUACAUGCAAGUCGAGCGAACCGAAGGGAGCUUGCUCCUUUAGGUUAGCGGCGGACGGGUGAGUAACACGUGGGCAACCUGCCCUGCAGACUGGGAUAACUUCGGGAAACCGGAGCUAAUACCGGAUAACACCGAAAACCGCAUGGUUUUCGGUUGAAAGGCGGCUUUUAGCUGUCACUGCAGGAUGGGCCCGCGGCGCAUUAGCUAGUUGGUGAGGUAACGGCUCACCAAGGCGACGAUGCGUAGCCGACCUGAGAGGGUGACCGGCCACACUGGGACUGAGACACGGCCCAGACUCCUACGGGAGGCAGCAGUAGGGAAUCUUCCGCAAUGGACGAAAGUCUGACGGAGCAACGCCGCGUGAGCGAAGAAGGUCUUCGGAUCGUAAAGCUCUGUUGUCAGGGAAGAACAAGUACCGUUCGAAC
rnacentral:rRNA from 1 species